rnacentral:lncRNA from 1 species
GAAUAACACCUGACUGUUGUUAGUUGUUUACUUUUUCCCUCUUUUCACGACCAAGGUGUGCCUGAGAGGGAAUCUCAACGCCGCAAACUGUACACCGUACGCCGUUAUAGCGACAGUUGACUCGGUGGGUAUGGAACGGGCCGGCGUCAGCGUUUGACACGGUUUCGCCAAGGUGCGGCUGAAGUGUUAGAGCUAAAUGCUGAAAGGCGACGACGCGAACUUGGAAAGGUCAUGUUUUGUAAAGAACUUCUGUACUGACCGAGGGUGCUGGAAGUUCCUUUUUCCGUUAGAAUGUUGGCCGGUCUCACUUAAUUGGCGCAAAACUUGGGUUAUGCCAUUACGAGGACGAGAGCACCCAUGAAAUUGCCGAAAGCCACUUCUUUCCGCUUUGCUGGCCUGGCCUUGUUGCUUCACUAGGCAAUAAGUAGACCGGUCGUGAGGUGGACGCCUGUGCAAGGAACCGGGGACGCUAACACUCGUAGAGUGCCUCGUGGCGGCAGUAGUCAGGCUGCAAAGGACAUAAAGUACGUAGCGCGAUGUCUAGCAUCCGAGAAUUCGCCUCGUGGAGCAUCGUGCAUCAGAGCACAAACACAGGAGAGAGGAAGUAACUCGAUAGAACAGGCUAUGACUAGUUCUUUAGGGUUAGCCUUGUCAGUCCGUUAACGCAGUCACAAUGACUAGGAGAGGUUACACCAAGGUUUCGUUCAAGACUGAUCCACGAGUUAUAAAUAGCUGAGAAAUGGGCGGUGCCACUUUCACCUGUGCGGGGAGACGAGUGCUCGCAGGUUUUUUCUGCGAAUGAUCUUUGGAGCAAGUACAGUCUGGUGGUUUGAUCAGGAUGCAUCCCGUGGUACAGCAACGGACGACUGUAGCGCACGAAUGAAGAGUGAACGCGGCGGAAACGUCGCAACGUAUUGUGAAGAUGUGUUGGGAUGAUGCAGAUUAUCUAAAAAGGUCGUACUCGUAUGUUGCUGUCGAGGGGAGGCCGUAAAUCGUGCGUAGCAACCGUGUAGCUUUCUGUUGCAAUGUCGGGAGGCGGGUAAAACGGGGCUCCAGUGUCGAUGCUUGUUCCCUCAGUGGUAAAAAAACAUCUGAUUGACAAAGGCGUAAAGUCGUGGCACGUGAAACAGCACCAAUGUAGUAGUUACGUCUCUUCAGAACGAUGUUUUUCGGUUUUUCCACUGGUAGAGGCUGCAAAAAUCGCGGUGUCCAGUUUGUUGCUUCCAAAAAGUGGCGUAUCCAGCUGACGCGAUCUGGAACCGCCCUUCUCUUGUCUGCAGGGGCGACAGUCCGAGCUCUUGCCCGUUGCCGUUGCACAUAUCUCUUGUCAGUGGAGCAAACGCACACCCGUGUUUGCUAAUCUUUCGGAAACAAGGAGCAUGUUUCCAGC